UUGGUUUGUUUGCUUAUUUCUAGCUUUCAACAUCCUCAAAAGCAUCUAAUUGUUCAGGACAUACUGAAUAUCUGCACUUCCAGAAAUCCAGCCUUGAGUAGAACUGCCCUGAAAGCAAGACACCRGGAAGCCGAGAUGAGUUUUAUUUCAGGGUGAGAUCAGUAUCUGGAAAGAUGCUGCAAUUUAUGCUGUUAUCAUUUCAUGAACUUCAGCAAAUCUACUCCUGAYAAUAGAUUAUAAUGAUGGUGAU
rnacentral:lncRNA from 1 species